ACGGGUGCGGAACACGUACGCAACCUUCCUUUAAGCGGGGAAUAGCCCAGGGAAACUUGGAUUAAUACCCCAUAAUACGAUUGAGUGGCAUCACUUGAUUGUUAAAGCUCCGGCACUUAAAGAUGGGCGUGCGGCUGAUUAGGUAGUUGGCGGGGUAACGGCCCACCAAGCCGACGAUCAGUAACUGGUGUGAGAGCACGACCAGUCACACGGGCACUGAGACACGGGCCCGACUCCUACGGGAGGCAGCAGUAAGGAAUAUUGGUCAAUGGACGCAAGUCUGAACCAGCCAUGCCGCGUGGAGGAUGAAGGCCCUCUGGGUUGUAAACUUCUUUUAUUGGGGAAGAAACCGGUUUUUUCUAAAGCCGUUGACGGUACCCAUUGAAUAAGCACCGGCUAACUCCGUGCCAGCAGCCGCGG
rnacentral:rRNA from 1 species